GUGCUCGCUUUGGCAGCACAUAUACUAAAAUUGGACCAAUACAAAGAAGGUUAUCAUGGCCGCUGGGCAAGAAUGACACGCAAAUUCCGUGAAGUGUUCCAUAUUAUU